ACCUCCCGACCGAACCUGCACACCGCCCUCCGCCACUGCGACCAGAGCGAGUCCGGUGAAUGACCCGGGCCAAGGUCCAGGUGACGAGUCCCUGAACCCCCCUUGGACCUGCUGAGGUCUCUCUGAGCUCCGGGUCCGAGAUUCACCCCGACGCCAGGAGACCUUCGCGGCCCCCACCCAGGAUGAGCCCGCGGGGGUUCACUCGGAUUUUAUCUAGUUUCUGGGUCUUUGACCAAUCACUGCGGAUCCUCCACAGACACAUGUGACCUGCCACCCCAUCUCUGACCAUGAGGGGACCCUGAGGUGAAGGGCUGUAGGCUUCUACCGGACAGAGAUUACUGUGACCUGGCAGCGUGAUGGGGAGGACCUGACCCAGGACACGGAGCUUGUGGACACCAGGCCUGCUGAGCCGGGACCUUCCAGAAAUGGGCGGCUGUAGUGGUGCCUUCUGGGAGAGGAGCAGAGAUACAUGUGCCUGUGCAGCACGGGAGGCUGCAGGAUCCCGUCAGCCUGAGAUGGGGUAAGAAGGGGGAUGAAGGGGUGGAUUCUAUCCACAGACAGCAGAAUUCAUGACACCUUCUGUAGACCUUCAGCGGCAUCACAGCUGAGGCCCAGUGGUCAGAACUCUCACCUUCCCUUUCGUUCCCGGAGCCCCCGCGUCACUCCAACAUCCCCAUCAUGGGAAUCAUUGCUGGUCUGGCUGUCCUUGGAGCUGUGGUCACUGGACCUGGGACCUGGAGGAGGAAGAGCUCCAGCAGGGAAAGGGGGGAAAAGAUGGAGCUACACUCAGUCUGCAAGUAAGUAUGGACGGGGUGAUCCCUGAGACCCUGGGUAGUGCAGACGGGGCCCCAUGAGGAGCUACCCACCCCAUAGCUCCCUUGUCUCAUCUCCUGG